rnacentral:rRNA from 1 species
GGCAAGCCUGAUGCAGCGACGCCGCGUGAGGGAUGACGGCCUUCGGGUUGUAAACCUCUUUCACCCAUGACGAAGCGCAAGUGACGGUAGUGGGAGAAGAAGCACCGGCCAACUACGUGCC